AUGCCGCCCUCACCCUACCUGGACCCUAACAGGAGUCGCUGCAGCUUCCUGCUUCAACAGUGCUUGGACGGAACCAGCACUCGUCUCUCUUCCCAGCCAACCGCUCAGAGCCAGCCCUCUGCCUCCGCCACCGCCUCGCUGCACCCUCCAGCACCCUCUGACUGCCUCAAGGCCACCGCAGCCCCCGCGCCACACCUCCGCCCCCGCCCAUCCUCAGCUGCCGCCAUGACGACCGCUGGUGCGCCAGAACUACCACCAGGACUCGGACACCGCCAUCAGCCGCCAAAUCAACCUGGAACUCUACACCUCCUACUCUACCUGUCCAUGUCGUACUACUUUGACCGCGAUGAUGUGGCUUUGAAGAACUUUGCCAAAUACUUUCUUCACCAAUCUCAUGAGGAGAGGGAGCAUGUUGAGAAACUGAUGAAGCUGCAAAACCAAUGCGGUGGCCACAUCUUCCUUCAGGACAUCAAGAAACCAGACCGUGAUGACUGGGAGAACGGGCUGAAUGCCAUGGAUUGUGCAUUACACUUGGAAAAAAACGUGAACCAGUCACUACUAGAACUGCACAAACUGGCUACUGACAAAAACGACCCCCACUUGUGUGACUUCAUUGAGACACAUUACCUGAAUGAGCAGGUGAAAUCCAUCAAAGAAUUGGGUGACUACAUAACCAACUUGCGCAAGAUGGGAGCCCCCAAAUCUGGCAUGGCAGAAUAUCUCUUUGACAAGCACACCCUGGGAGAGAGUGAUGACAGCUAAACCUUGGGCUAAUUUCCCAAGCUACUGGGUGACUUUCCUGGUCACCAAGGCAGUCCAUGCAUAUCAGGGUUUCCUUUGCCUUUUCUAUAGGUUGCACCAAAAUGUUCACUUCAGUUCUUUGAUUUGUACCAUUCCUUCAAAUAAAGAAAUUUGGUACCC